AGAAACCAAUUACAAAGCCUAUGGUGACAAACUUUGAAGGAUUAAUGGAAGCAAGAGCAAGAGAGGUCAAUAUGGUUUUGUAGAGAUAAAACUCAACUCAAUAAUCUAAUACAAGUCUUAUCUAAAAUCACCCUACCUUGAAUCAUGAAAAGCAACAAUGUAACAAGUUGAUAUGUCUUUGUUGUAUCUCCUAGGGAGUCAAUCAUUGUACAACAACUAAUAUAGAUAAGGGAGAUGUUGUUUAUUGGAAUUGAAUUUGUGACCUCUUUAUCUCUGAACAUCAACACAAAACCAUGACUUCCAUCACGAAUCCACAUACUUCAUCACCGCCAACCCUAAAAUCAUGUCCUCCGCCAUCGUGGACUUGCAACCACAACCAACAACCUCCAACUUUGGCCAAAACAGCCUGACCUGUUCAAAUCACCAAUAACAACACCUCAACUGACUAACCCAUGAAACCGAGUGCAAUUUAAAACAUUGAUUGAAAGCAUAAACUACUACUAUUAAGUUAAAUAAGGAGGUCCACCAAACUCCAUGGUGUUAAUAAUUCUGAACUGAUUGUUCCAUCAAUAUUCUGGCAAGUUAUCACAGAGAAGCUACCUACAGUUUAAUUCAUAGUGAAGUGAUUUUUGGUGCAUAAAUUGGCCUUAUAGACUUAUUAUUCCAUUGUUGUCCAAAAUAUGUCCAUUUAACAACAAAUGUAAAUCCAACACAACAAUAAUUAAACAACAGAUACACUUUUUCAGUUCCAUCACUCUUUUAAAAUCCAAUACAUCUAAGUUUGUUAUUUUUUUAAAAUUUAACUACAGGAAGAAAACAAGACACUAAAACAGUUGCAGUAUGUAAAGACCACUACAUUAAAAAGGAAACAAAUUACUUCAGUACAACUUGGGCAUGUACAUGAAGGGGUUAUAAGGCUUGGUUGUUGUUGUUGUACAACAUGGGCAUGUACAUGCAUUUACAUCAACUAAAGGUAGUACCACCAACAAAAAUAAAGGGGUUAUACCUUUAGUGAUUACAGGAACUGAGAGUAUUUGUACCUUGAAGCUAUCCAAUUGAAAAUUGAAGCAUAAAUAAUAAUCCUUUGUAUUUUACAUCUGCAAUCCUAACAAGUAUGUUUCCUCCAGUAACAACUGAGAGUUUGUUGUUGCAACCAUCUGAGAGUUUGUUGUUGCAACCAUCUGAAAAAGGUGAGAAAACAUAGAUAGUUAUUGCCUUACAAAUAUAUAUAAAUUAUAAUCAUGUUGCAGAAAACAAGAAAUAGAGAUGAAAAAGUAGUUGUAUUACCUUGAAUCCCAUUUUCUGAUACAUUAUCUGUGCAUGAUUGUUAUUCCUGUCAACUUGCACAUAUAACUAUGUCACACCUGUUAAAUGAAUGAAGGUAUGGUAAACCUUUUGGUUUCAUUUCAUGUUUCUAUUACAGACAUAAAACUAUGUCAAUAAUAGAUAGACUUCUGUACAAUGAGCCUUGGAUCUAUAAACUACAAGUAUCAACUUCCCUAGUAUUCCAUAUUUUUAAUGUGUAAAUCUAUUUCAAAUUCUCAUUUCGAAGCAUCACAUAAAAAUUAGUUUCCUUCACGUGGCUUCCCUUUUUCUUCACAUGUUUACAAUGAGUUCUACAUGUUUAGGCAAUAUAAACACAAGGCAAACACAAGGCAACAUCACUUAGAUUAACUAGAUUACCAUAUGAUACACAUAACAAAAACAUAAGUAUACGUAUAUCAUCAUUCUUAUGAUAAACUAGUCAAAAUUUUGUGCAGGAGAGUUUAACUUAAUCAUUUUAACAUUCCCUACUACCAUAAUAUGUCGAAGGAAACCAUUAUCAUCCCUCCACCUAAAACCAUAUGCUUUUUGAAUGGGUUUUUAAUAUGUGUCAGUGAUGAAAUACAUGCGUCCAUCAAGCAACAUAUAAAAUUAUAACUAACAAGCCAAAUUAUUAGUCAAAAAGGCCAAAACCACAAACAUUUCUUGACUAAAAUUUCAGAAUUUUUUCUCGAGAACAAAAUUGAUAUUUAACAUCUUUUGCUCCAUAAUAGCCAUUGAAUUCAAGUUCAAAGAUCAAGAAGAUCACAAAUGAAAGAUGUACCACUUAAGUAAAUAAAAAAUAUGCAAAUGACAUAAUGGAUGGAUUUUCAUUAAAAAGACUUUAAUUUCAAACAUCAAAUUGGAUUAUUCUGAAUUAAGUUACUUCAAAUUUCAGAGUUGCCUGACCCUAACAAGUAACAACACAUAUAUUAUUGAUCCAAAUGAAAUACUUAUAAGAUUUGAAACACACCUAAUUCAGAACUCGAACCACUACUUCCUGGUGAGAAACAUUACCUUCUUUGGCUUAAUGGUCCAAAACUAGGGAUUGAGAUUGACAGAAUCAUAUUUCCUAAAAUUUGAAUCAAAAUUAUAAAAUUGAAAAGGAAAAACAUUGUUAGUAUACUUGUGAGUGCAAAUGCAUGUACUUGUGAAGAAUAAAUAGAGGAUGAAAUUGCAAAUUCAUGAUGAAAAACAUCACUGGCGAAAGAAACAUCACUGAUGAAGAAGCUUCGAGCGUUGAUUGUUCAUUUGAAACCAAAAUGGUGAUGGUAAAAGCCAUGGUUAAAGCGUUGAGGACGAGAGAGAAGACAAGAUUAAAGUCUUGAGCGACAAGGAAGAAGUGAUAAAAAAAAUGGAAAUAAAAGUAUGGAGGGAGAGCUAAUGAUGAAUGUGAGAAGCUUCAUCAACCCUUCUAAAUAAUUUAAAUUAUGAGAUGCUAAGGUAAGUUGGAG
rnacentral:lncRNA from 1 species